rfam:Lactobacillus sp. ASF360 genomic scaffold acMPL-supercont1.4, whole genome shotgun sequence.
UUCUUUUAGGUAGAAUUAUUCAUGCAGAAAGUUUUAUGAGCGGCGGCUGUUUUACCUCCUGGAGGUGAGGCCUAUGGACCAACAUCAAGCAGAAAGGGUUCAGCCAGAUGAGCGUAUACGAAGCCAUCUCGUUAAUGCUGUUGUUUGGUACUUUUAUGUUAGCUUUGCUAACAUAUAUC